AACGUAGGAGACAAACGUUAUCCGGAGUUACUGGGCGUAAAGGGCGUGCAGGUGGUCUGUUAAGUCUGGCGUGAAAGCUCUCGGCUAAACCGGGAGAGGUCGUUGGAUACUGGCGGACUAGAGGACGGUAGAGGCGUGUGGAAUUCCGGGUGUAGUGGUGAAAUGCGUAGAGAUCGUGAGGAAGACCAGUGGCGAAGGCGGGUCUCUGGACAGUUCCUGACACUGAGGCACGAAGGCCAGGGGAGCAAACGGG
rnacentral:rRNA from 1 species